rnacentral:ncRNA from 1 species
CCUCCGAAAAGGCGAACCAAUCGAAAGAUUGGGAUGCAAAACCACAGGCCUAAAUCCCUGCGAGGGAUAGGGUGACUGGGUUACCGAA